rnacentral:rRNA from 1 species
GUCCUUUUGUUUUAUAUUUAAGGUUUAACCUGCCCACUGAAUAAUUUAAAUGGCCGCAGUAUUUUAACUGUGCAAAGGUAGCAUAAUCAUUAGUUUUUUAAUUAAAAGCUUGUAUGAAAGGUUGGACGAGGUAAAAACUGUUUCUAUUUAAUUAAUUAUAAAAUUUAAUUUUUAAGUUAAAAAGCUUAAAUUUUUUUAAAAGACGAGAAGACCCUAUAGAUCUUUAUAUUUAUUAUUUUAUUUUUAAUUUAGAUUUAUUUAAAUUUUAUUAUAUUAAAUAUUUUAUUGGGGUAAUAAGAAGAUUAAAAAAAUUCUUUUAUAUAUUAUUCAUUGAUUAAUGUUUUAAUGAUCCAAUUUUAUUGAUUAUAAGAUUAAGUUACCUUAGGGAUAACAGCGUAAUUUUUUUAGAGAGUUCAUAUCGAUAAUAAAGUUUGCGACCUCGAUGUUGGAUUAAAGAUUAAUUUAGGUGUAGAAGUUUAAAUUUUUGGUCUGUUCGACCAUUAAAUCUUUACAUGAUCUGAGUUCAGACCGGUGUAAGCCAGGUCGGUUUCUAUCUUUAAUAAUAUAAUAUAUUUUAGUACGAAAGGACCAAAUAUAUAAUAUAUAAAUAUUUAUUAAUUUUUGAAUAUUAUUAAUUACUUUGGCAGAUUAGUGCAAUGAAUUUAGAAUUCAUAUAUGUAAAUUUUUACAAGUAAUACUUGUUUUAUAUAGAUAUAAUAUUUUCUUUUAUUUGUAUAUUAUUAUUAAUUAUUUGUGUAUUA